CGGACGAACGCUGGCGGCGUGCUUAACACAUGCAAGUCGAACGGUGACGAGGAGCUUGCUCCUCUGAUCAGUGGCGAACGGGUGAGUAACACGUGAGCAACCUGCCCCAGACUCUGGGAUAACAGUUGGAAACAGCUGCUAAUACCGGAUACGAGACGGAGAGGCAUCUCUACCGUCUGGAAAGUUUUUCGGUCUGGGAUGGACUCGCGGCCUAUCAGCUAGUUGGUGAGGUAAUGGCUCACCAAGGCGACGACGGGUAGCCGGCCUGAGAGGGCGACCGGCCACACUGGGACUGAGACACGGCCCAGACUCCUACGGGAGGCAGCAGUGGGGAAUAUUGCACAAUGGGUGAAAGCCUGAUGCAGCGACGCCGCGUGAGGGAUGACGGCCUUCGGGUUGUAAACCUCUUUCAGCAGGGAAGAAGCGAAAGUGACGGUACCUGCAGAAGAAGCACCGGCUAACUACGUG
rnacentral:rRNA from 1 species